AUGAUUUAUUACUUCUCUGAAAAAUAUUUUCCUGCUCAUAAGAAACAAGCUGCCUUACAGAAAAUAUUUAACUUUGCUCAAACUAAAGAAGAGAGUCUCCCACAAGCUUGGGGGAGGCUUGUCCAUUUACUUAAUGCUUUGCCUGAUCAUCCUCUUAAGAAAAAUGAAAUACUUGAUAUCUUCUAUAAUGGACUAACUGAUGCUUCUAGGGACUUCCUAGAUAGUUGUGCUUGUUGUGUUUUCAGGGAACGAACUAUUGCUCAAGCUGAAGAAUUAUUGAAUAACAUAUUGAAAACUUAUGAUGAUUGGACUCUUCCUGAACCACCGGCUAAACCCACUCCAAAGAAGAGGGGUGUAUUAUAUCAAGGAAAAAGGUAUUAA
rnacentral:rRNA from 1 species